rnacentral:lncRNA from 1 species
AUGGGAGCGGUAGUGGGGAAAGAUUGGGGAGCAAAUAAACAAUCAUUAAUGUAUAUUUAUAGGGCUCUAAUGAGGGCAACAAUUGAUUAUGGAUGUUAUGUUUAUGGAGCAACACCUAAAACCCAUUUAUUGAAGUUAGAUAGAGUUAGUAAUAAAGCAUUGAGGAUCUGUGCAGGUGUAAUGAGAUCAACACCAAUUAAAGCAAUACAGGUUGAGUUAGGAGAAGUGCCCUUAGACCUGAGAAGAGAUAAAAUCAUGCUUACAUACUGGAGUCGCUUAAGUGGAUGUGGGUUUGAGAACCAUGCUAAGAGCAUUAUUCAGGAAUGUUGGGAGUAUAGUUCUUUUAAAGGUAAUGGUUUUGGAUGGGUAAUAAAGACUAAGUCAGAGGAAUAUAGAGUAAAUAAUAUAUGGUUUAACUCCCCUACACCUAUCAGUAAUAUACCUAUUUGGUUAUUUCCAAGAACUGAGAUAGACUUAAAUAUAUUGGAAUUAAAAAAUGAAUGGGAAGAGAGUAGGAAAGGACAUUUGGCAAGUCAGUACAUAAGGAACAAAUAUUACAGUUAUUUAGAUAUGUAUACAGACGGAUCUAAAGAUGAAGAGGACAAGGUAGGAAUAGGAAUAUAUAUACCAACAAGGAAUAUAAGCAUUGGGAAAAGAUUACCCGAUCAGGCAUCAGUGUACACGGCAGAGAUGAUGGCGAUUAUUGUAGGACUGCAGUGGGUUGAGGAAGUAAAACCAGACAGAGUGGUGUGUUGUGUUGACUCUGUAGCAGCUCUUUAUAGUAUUCAAAAUAUGAAAUCUAAUAGAGAAGAUCUAAUGCUAGAAAUUCAACAAAGUUUAUUUAGAUUACAGAGACUACGGAUAGAUGUGAGAUUCUGCUGGGUACCUGCCCACACAGGUGUACAAGGGAAUGAGGGAGCAGACAAUAUAGCAAAAAAAUCAACUAAGAUGAAUAAUGUCAUAAAUAUACCUCUUGGAAAAGGAGAAGCUAAGGCGAUAAUUAAAAAAGAAAUGUUAAAGAAAUGGCAGGAUAGGUGGGAUGUGGAUAAAAGUGGAAGGAAAUAUUACAGCUUGCAAAAAUCUAUUAAUGCUCAGGGUGUGAAUAGAAGUAACAGAAGAGAGGAGAGUGUUUUAACCAGGCUAAGGUUUGAUCACACAGGGUUAAAUAAAACACUGUUUUUAAUGGGCAAAAGUCCAUCAGAUGAAUGUUUGGAAUGUAGGUCCAAGGAAGAUGUAGAACAUGUAUUGCUAUAUUGUAAUAAAUAUAGAGAUGAGAGGAUGAGGCUAAAACAAAAGAUCAGUCAGACAGGAAGGAAGUGGAACCUUGAAGGUUUAUUAGGCACAACAGGAGAUGGGGUAAAGGAUACACAGAAAGCAGUUAUACAAUAUCUAAAAAAUAUAGGGAUAUACAAUAGGAUAUAG